GCGGCGGUACCCUAGCCUGGUAAGGGGCAGGCCUGGAGAGCCUGUGGCCCAUCUGGGCCUCGAGGGUUCAAAUCCCUCCCGCCGCG
rnacentral:tRNA from 2 species